rnacentral:lncRNA from 1 species
GCUUGAGCACAGCUGGGUGGGAGGGUUCUACAUGGAAAUUCAGGGGUCCCCAGGCCUAACCUCCGUGGGUGUGGCCAGCACUCGCCUCUCCUUCCACUUCCGGUGUAAACUGAGUCACGACCACCCACCAGUGCCCACCCUCGGCUCCUCCCCUUCCCCCAUCAGCCCCUGCACCACCCACCCUGCUCUCUCCACCCCACGCCCCGAAGUGCAGGACCAGCGCAGACGGAAACAGAAAGCAGCAACUGCAGGCUAAGCGCGCUUUACUGAGCAUAUACAACAGCACACAGGAAGCAAAGAACCCCGUCCAUUCAAAUGAAGGGCUAACUGGGGAAGCGGCUGCCUGAUUUCGCAUCCUGCACCCAUGAUAGGAAAGAAGUUCUCAGGGUGUGUGUGGGCGGCACAGGGAGUGUCGCCUGGGGCUCGGGGUCCCCUUCUGCAAUGGAAGUAACAUCCACGGUAUCACCUGGAACCAACUCUUCCCGGGAUGCACAGCCCUGAGCCGCAAUGUUUUGGUCAACAACGGAACAGACGGAUGACUUUGCAGCCGCCGCAGUUUGUGUAAGGACAGGCCCCGGGUCUGCACCACGAUGAAACUGCCACUCCUCAGAGAGCGUCCUGCUCCUCCAGCACCGCGAGGGCUGACUGAACUGGAGUGGUCGGGGGCGCUGCUCACCGGGUGUGCCGUACAGGCUGCUCCAUGCCUUCGUGCCUUUUCUUGGUCCACACAGCAAGCUGCAACCCAGAGCGACUGACGGGACCCGCAGGCAGAGGACAGCUGCAAGAUACAGCGCAUCCCAGCUCUCCUGCUGGUGGACUCUCCUUCCCUGCGACUCCGACCCUUCGGCCCUGCCCCACUGGGUUUCUCCAGAGGACGCUGGCACAGCACAGCGGGGCAGCCUGCAGGCUGGAGACUCCCUCCCCACCUCCGGGCCACAUAGCCAGGAGGCCUAGUUCAUCCCCUCCUCGGGUUCCUCGUUACACGGGAAACUUGGGCAGGAGCUUGGGGAAUCUCGGGUGCUGGCCCCAGUGCUGUCAAAGCCCGGGGUCACAGCAGUGCUGGGGUCGUGCACCCUGGGGCUGAGGCCCUGCAGUCCUGACCAGGUGAGGUGCUGCAUUUUCAAUUGGCUCUGAGAGUGCUGGGAAGAUUCCCGGGGAUCCGACUGGGCAGGCACCGAGGACCCUUGGCCAUGGGCCAUAAAACGUCGGACAGAGUGUGAUAUAAUCUUUUCCACUCCACUGAUGCAUUGAUUUGUUUCCAUUUCGCUGUCUCCAUGUAGUGCACACAUCCAUCUCGGCGAAGUUCCCAGGGAGCAGGGGCUGCCCGGGCAGGUUCUUUCUCAGCGAAACAGGAGCUCGAGGGAAAGGCUUCCUGCUUAUGGUGCCUGGAUGGUUUCGGGCACCUCAGUACUCAGUGUGGCCGGUCUUCACCAGUCCAUCAGGGGGCGGAGCCGGGGGUGAUGGAGUGUGGCACAGUGGCCUGCCCACCUCCAGCUGAGGGGGGGGGCUCCGAUGCCAUGAGGAGCAGGAGUGGGGAAGGGAGGCCAGGAAGAGAUCAGGAAAGACGGGAGGAAAGGCGAGGGGAGGGGACAGACCUGAAAACUUCCAGGACAGGCGAUUUGAAACUAAGGCGCUGAACACGGACGUGUGUAGGAUCUUAGUCUGAUUUUCUACUUUUCAGUGGGAAUGGGAGCUAAAAGCUAAAUUGUCAGUACUUUUCCAAUUUCCUACAUUGCUACCCACAGCAAGCAGUAUAUCUGACUUCAUGAGCAGUGAACGCGCAGUAUGUGCGCACCUGUGUGCGUGCAUUUACACACAUUUCCGUGCAUUUCCAUCCCUCUCAGGGACCCUCCUGCCUCAGCCUUUGAGUGCUGAGAUUACAGGCACAGGACAACCACACCUGACUACGAUUUUCUCUUCUGUUCUCUUUCUUUUAAAAACUGUCUCUUGGUCCUAUAAAUCGAAUCCAUAAUCAUUAACGACCAUCAACCUUACAAAACUCGGGGUACAGAAAAGUUAUUUUGACCCCUCUCCACCGAGGCCAUGAUUCUGAGCCCCGGGGUCGGGUCAGACCAGGUGUUCAUCUCACCCUCUCCCCGCGGGCUGGGCUCGGCCAGCUACAAGGUGUUUCCUCCUGGCCAAGUUCGGGGGCUGUGAGCGGAAGGCGCAUCUGAAAAACCCUCCCGGGGACCGAGGAGAGUGAAGGGCAGGGGUCCCUCGACCUGGCGAGGGGUGAGGCUGCCCGGGAUGUAGCGCAGAGGUCCAGGAGCGCCGCGCCGGAGGGAGGGAGGAGAAAUCUGGCCUCUCGGGCCCGCACCCCUCUCCCUCCCUGGGCUCCCCUUCCUCGUGGCCGCUUGGGCUGCUCAGUUCAUUUCCUUCCUUGUCCUUCUCGUCCAUUGCACCUUUUGGCCGAGCUUAUUUGUAAUUCAGAGAGGAGGAUGAGAACGCCAGUGCGUGCCCACCAGGCAGGUCCGGGCCUCCCGGAGGCUGCAAUCUCUGAGGAGCCCAGGCCCUGCUCUCGCCUCUUCUUCCAGUGCAGACUCCUGUCCCAGUGUCCCUGCCCGGCCAGGAGAGGCGAGCACACGGCCGGCCAAGGGUUUUCUCCUCAUGCUUCCUGCUCUAUCUGUCCUGCUACCUCACUCAGAUUCCUCGGCUUCACCUGCUGCACCAGAGAGGCCCUGGCAGGGUGGGCCCAUCGGCUCCCAAGCACCAGGCUCGGACCUGGCCUGACUCUCUCUCUCUGUCUCUCUCUCUCUCUCUCUCUGUCUCUCUCUCUCCUGAACCACACAGCUCCUUCCCGUGUGUCGGAACUCCGACUCUGUUACUCUCCACCUUGGCCCUUGGUUUCUUUUUUGACACCAACCAGGAUUUGUCUUUUUUCCUGUCUCCUCCCCUGGAAUGAAAGGACCCCAAAGGCUCAAUCAUAAUCAUCGUAUGAAGCAAGUAGUGUUGCCCCCUUUCCUACAUCCAGAAAUCUCACCUGGGCAUGGUUGUUGCAGGCCUGGAAUCCCAGCACUGGGGAGGCUGAGGCAGGAGGGUUGCAAGUCUGAGCCCCACCUGGGCAACUUAGCGAGACCCUGACUCACAAUAGAAGAUAAAAAGGGCUGGAGAUGUGGCUUGGUGUGAAGGGCCUAGAUCCAACCCAGGGCCAGAAGGAAGACAGAGAGAGAAAGGGAGGGAGGGAGGGAGAGAGAGGGACGGAGAGACAGGGGACGGGGGGAGAGGGAGAGAGAGGGAGAGCCAUGUGUCUUGCAGUUGAGACACUGUUGGUGCCUCUCCAGGGAGGCUCUUUGCGGAGCUCACCUUUCUCCCCACGGAGUGAGUCCUUUGGUCCUUCACUCCCAUUUACGGGUAGUAACAGAUGUUUCCUGCACACCUACUUCACCCCUGGACCCAGACUCCUGUGCAGUGGAGGACAAGGUAGCUCCUCCCGCUCUGCUCCACCCACAGCCAGAUUGAAGCCCAAGCUCUGAGUGAGGCUCCAGCAUCCAGAUACCUUCUGGGGAGACCCACGCCCCACAGGGUACAGAGCCAUAGCACAGGCCUCUGUCACCAACCAGUCCUUCCUUCUUCACCAGCUUUGUCUUUUAUGUGUGUUUUGGUCAGGGGGAGGACUGGGGAUUAAAUAGCUUGCAAUCCUCCUGCCUCAGCCUCCUAGAGCUCUAAGAGUACAUGUCUGCAUCUCUUGCUACUCUGCUCUCACCUCCUGGCCAGAGCUUUCUCCCACCGUGAUGUGAGGUCGGGAGCUGCCCAACCUCAGGACACCGGGACAGCCCUGCAUAAAGAAACCCUGCUCUGCCUGGCCACAUCAGGCGGCUGGUGCCAACCAUCGGGAGCCUCACUCCCUCCACGGUACUCAAGGGCUCCCCAGUGCUCAAGAAGGGGACAGCAGGCCUGCAAACCCUUGGCUUUGUUUGCAGAGGCUCUUCCUAGGCGAGGCCCAAGCUCAGAUUCAGAACUAUAGGGUCAAGAAACUACAAGGGUCAGAAAGAAGCGAAUGGAAAUCUCCAAUGUUUGUAGAUAUUUCUUCCCACAUCUUCUGCGCUGGCACUGCAGCUUCCUCAGCUUUUCUGCUUCUGACGUGGUCACGAGGGUCUUCCUUCUCCUGCCGCUCUCUUCGAGAAAGAGCAGAGAAGAAAAUGACUGAGGGAAGGGAUUUCCUCUGCUCUUCUGGAAAUUUUCAGUUGUUUGUCUUCUAAAUGGUUUAUGCUCCAGUUUCUUCAUCUAUAAAAUGGAGAAUUAGCUAAAUUAAUGGACCUUUGUCUUUCAUGAAGUGCCUUCCAAAUACGGGCUGUGCAAGGGACAUGAGAUGGGGUGCUAGCAUUCUGUUAGUGUUUAUAAACAUAAUUUGAAUUUUCCAUUAAUUAGAAUUAAUCCUGUCUAUAAGAAAAGACCUUUCCAAUUAAAUCACUGGUGUGCAGCUUUGGGUGGCUGGUGCCUUUUUUUUCUUUUUGCUUAACUUUUAAUAAAAUGGAUUUCUACUCUAUUUUGGGUAAAUUUUUAAUUUGCAUCUCCCUCUGGCCUGUUUCAGUGACAUAGUCUCACCUCUUAUUUAGUGUCUCUAAACAUUCUUAUCUGUACUAGAAAUUUUACUUUGUUAUUACCCAUAGUCUUAUUAUUGAAAAUCAUUUUACAGCUGAAGGUUAAUAGCAAUAUUUAUUUCAAGGUAAUGUUUCCAUGUGCUUUAAGAUUUUAAAAUAAAACCAAAUAACCUUUCAUUAAGCUACUAUUUUAAUGUCAUUUUAUUUUUGUCUUAAAUAUAUGAUGUUCCUUUCCUUAUGAGUGAAAAUGAUCCUGAAUACUACUGGCCCAAGAUGCUAACAGAUUACAAAGCUAAGUGCCUUUGAGUUUUCUCACAAGAAAACAACCACUGG